UGAGGAAUCUUCCACAAUGGGCGAAAGCCUGAUGGAGCGACGCCGCGUGCAGGAUGAAGGCCUUCGGGUUGUAAACUGCUUUUAUAAGUGAAGAAUAUGACGGUAACUUAUGAAUAAGCACCGGCUAACUACGUGCCAGCAGCCGCGGUCAUACGUAGGGUGCAAGCAUUAUCCGGAGUGACUGGGCGUAAAGAGUUGCGUAGGUGGACAAGUAAGCGAAUAGUGAAAUCUGAUGGCUCAACCAUACAGACUAUUAUUCGAACUGCUUGUCUCGAGAAUAGCAGAGGUAACUGGAAUUUCUAGUGUAGGAGUGAAAUCCGUAGAUAUUAGAAGGAACACCAAUGGCGUAGGCAGGUUACUGGGCUAUUUCUGACACUGAGGCACGAAAGCGUGGGGAGCGAACC
rnacentral:rRNA from 1 species